ACCGCCGGGCCCGGCGACGUCACUGCGGCUCUGACGCGCGCUAAUGGAGGCCCGGGCGCAGGCGGCGUGGCGCGGGUGUCCCCCGGGGAGGUCCCGGUCCUUGCAGCCCGCGGCCGCGUCCUUGGCCCUCCUCCAGGGGAACCUCGAUUUUCCCAUCUCGGGAAGGCCGGCUGUCCUUCGGCUACUGACAAGGACGCGACCGCUUGGUAAAAGAUCUGAACAAUGCCCGGAAAGAAAGAGCCGGACCCGAGACAGAGCCUAAUAAUAGCCGCCCGCUCGAGUUCUGCUCGCGUGCUCAGCGCUCUUAAGAACAAUAAUAACGACAACAGCCAUAAGAGCCACCAUUUAUUGAGCGCUUACUCUGUGCCAGGCACUGUGUUAAGCGUUUUGCGGGCAACCCUCGGAGCUCUGAGAGGAGUGCAUCACUAUUUCGACAGAGGAGACAAGACUGGUAAAUGGCAAUGCGGGCAUCCACCAGGAGGAUCUAUCUGUAAAGCCACGUUCCCAUCACCCGAAUGCACAAGCUGAUCCAACUGAACAGAAGAGGAAAGGAUGUCCUAAAGUAAGCAGCCCUGGCUGGUACAGCAGCCCUGUGACCAUCAGGGACCCCAGGCCCCUUCUACCCGGGGCUCCCCAUCAUCAGUGCAUGCCUUCCACUAGUGACCCAAGACGCCAAUGGAAGAAGCAGCAGGAAAGAAGAGAGUCCUGCCUCCUCAAAGGACGCUUCCUGGAAUUCACAUGCAUCACAUCUGCUUGUACCGUACUAGCCAGAACAAAGUCCCACGGCCCCCAGAAGAUAAGAUUUAUCUAAGUAGAGCUUUUAUUACUAUAGAGAAAGAACAGAUAUUGGGGGGAUAACUGGCUUCUCUGCUGCAUUUUACAAACGUCUUUCCAGAGCACAUAGUUUUAUAUCCCUUUUGUUUUUCUCUUAUUUUUUAGUGAAUGUGUGACCACAUCAUUAAAUAUUCUUCAACUUUUAAUGGCUGCUCAAUAUUCCAUGAUAGCAGGUAGCAUCACUGAUAGAUCCAAUACCUUAUUUGAUAUGUGGGUGUUUUGCUCUGAUAAAUAAGACUCUUCAAUGGCUAAAACUUGUCAGAGGAAGAGAUCCCAACCUUUCCUCUCUACUUGGGGGCUGCCCUCCAAAGACAUUUUGCUGAGGAGUCAGAUUAGUAUCUGCCUUGAAAGCUGGCUUAAGGUUCUGUGUUUGUUUCUGAAAAAAAAAAAAAAAAAAAAAAAAAAGAAGCUUUUUGGCAACAGGAAUACUCCUCCAUUCCCCUUGCAGAGGAAGUCACAAGGGUAGGCACUUCUCCCUUGGGUGGGAGGAAGAUGGGGUGAGGAUGUGGGAGCUGCAGGUGCAGAGUCAGUGGGAGGAGACCAUGGACUCUACAGAGCUAGGAGAGGACCUGCUCCUGUAGAGGCUUAGGAGACUGGAUGGGGCCCAAUUCAUUCUCCACUCAAGUUCAACCAGCACUUUCUGUGCCUCUUCUCAGGGUCAUGCCCUGGACCAGUCCCUGGGGUUGUCUCAGAGUAGACAUCGUCCCUGCUCUCCAGGAACCCAGUCAAGUAUAAACUCACCGAUGUAGGAGUUCAGCCUGCCGUGUCGCCUCAAAUAAGAAUCCUCAGGCCCACACCCAAAUACCUGAUGCCAUGUAGGUGGGCCUAGAACCUGCAUUUCUUUCCGUCUCCUGGAGUGACUGAUGGGCAUGCUCAGGAACCAUUUUAGUGGAGGAACAUCAGUCAAGGUGUUUAGAGGAAUCCUUUUAAACCAGGCAGACCAGGAGCCUCCGUCUGCUCAGUAUGUGGCUUGAACCUUGACUGAGAGUUAAGCUAUAAGAGGACACCUGUCAGACACACCUGAACCCAAAUAGCAGGUCCAUCCUUCUGUAGCUGAGUGAUCUCAAGCAAAUUAUUUAACCUCCCUAAGACUCAGUUUUCCCAUUUGUAAAAUGGGAAGAAUUGAAGUCCUUCCCACGUGAAAAAAUAAACAUCAGUGCUUAGCAGAGUGUCUGGCACCCUAUAAAUGGUAGCUGUUACUAUUAAAUCAUUAAAAUUAUUGUUAAAAUUAAAAUAAUUGUUAUUAUUAAAUUAAUUAAAACUGGUGGCCCAGCAGUUUAGCGCUGCCUUCAGCCUAGAGCAUCAUUCUGGAGAUCUGGGAUCGAGUCCCACGUCAGGUUCCCUGCAUGGAGCCUGCUUCUGUCUCCACCUCUGUGUGUGUGUGUGUGUCUCAUGAAAAAAUAAAAUCUUUAAAAAUUUUAAUUAAAACUGCUUCUAUGUAACUACAGUGAGGAACUAGAGACAAGAUAUAGAAAGCAUCUUAUACGCUGCCUGACUCAUGGCGGUAGACAUUCAAUACAUUGGUAUUAUGAUUACUAUCAUCCUUACAUUCAUUUUAAUUCUAGGCUUAGCACCUCUGCAAGCUGUACCCGCCACACAAUAUUAUCCUCCCAAUAGAAAUCAUGGAUAAAGCCUCGGACUCGUGGCUCGGAACUGUGGGCUUACUGUCCACCCCUAGUGCCUGCCCCAGCAUGAAAGAGAUUUUCUCAGAGCCUUCCAGAAGGAUGUGCAAGCUGCAAGCAGGUCAGCGUGAGUGGGAACCUCAAGUCCCUACUUUCAACCUCCGGCUUUCUUGGGGAGCCAGGCAGAGCCCUGGGCCAUUCGCCCAGCCCCAAGGAUCAGGAAACCGUGCAGGCCCCGCGCUGCUGGGACGCCAGGAGGAAGAGGCGGUGUCGCUGUUGAUAACUGCAUUUUCGAGUGUUCCGUGGAUGGCGCGGUUACCAUGGUGAUGCUGAUGGCUGUGAGCGAAGCUGCAGCCUCUCUCGAGUUGUGAGUCAGGUUCAGCUUUAUUUAUUUAAAAAGAAAACCAACGCCCUGACCUGGGAAGGACAAAGCAACACGCAGAGACCAGGGACGGACCAUCCAUCCAUCCAUCCAUCCAUCCAUCCAUCCAUCCAUCCAUUGCUUACUGAGCACCAAUCAUCCAGCAGAGCCCAGGUUCCCUUGGACAGCAAGACCAAGGCAGCUGCCCUCCAAGUGCUGUUAAAACAGGCCCCACAUCAAAGCCAAUCUGAGAGGGGCGAGGCCUGGAGAUAAAUGGAAGAUUAAAGAAGGCGAGGUCUCCACAGGCCGCAGGGAGAGGCAGCAGGCAGGCGACCACAGAGGGGAGGCCCUGACACAGCCCUGGCAGCAGCCAUCUUGGGGGGCAAGAGGUGAUCCAACGUCCAUAACAGCCAACAAGCCAUCUGACAAUUCAUCAUCCAACAAGCCCUCGCUGAGCGUCACCAGAUGCUAAGCACCCGGAGAGGGGACCCAGAGGAAAGUCUGCCAUCUUGCCAUCAACGAGAUUACAACCCUCUGAGCAGUGGUGGAAUGCACACUAUAAGCAGCUGAUCUGAGACCCCCCCUGGACUUUGAGCAACCUAAGGGCUUUGUCUAUUCUCCUCUGGUCUCUGAUGCCUAAGCACCGAGCCUAGCACUCAAGAGUAAUCCCGUUCCUGAGAAUUUACCCUACAGAUAUACAGUGCUGGAACAAGGCUAUCAUUAUAGUAUUGUCUGUGAUAGUGAAAACUUGGAAACAAUCCAAAUGUCCAUCAUUUGGGGACAGGAGCAAUCUAUAGAUUCAGAAGAUUGAGAUAUUCACUGCAAAUUGGCAUGGUGCAGAGCACGGUGCAUUGAAGGACAACAGGACCAUAAUAAAUGGCAGUUUGUGA